rnacentral:tRNA from 1 species
GGAGGGGUGGCCGAGUGGUCGAAGGCGGGCGACUCGAAAUCGUCUAGGCGGUGAUGAGCCGUCUCGUGGGUUCAAAUCCCACCCUCUCCGCCA